rfam:Oceaniovalibus guishaninsula JLT2003 contig00008, whole genome shotgun sequence.
GCAUCGGGCGGGGCGUUCUGGGAUGCGCCCCUCGGAUGGAUGCGAUCCGACCUCUACAGGGGAUGCCCGCCGUCGACCCAACGGCCGGCAGC